rnacentral:rRNA from 1 species
GACGAACGCUGGCGGCGUGCUUAACACAUGCAAGUCGAACGGAAAGGCCCUGCUUGCAGGGUGCUCGAGUGGCGAACGGGUGAGUAACACGUGGGUGAUCUGCCCCUUACUUUGGGAUAAGCCUGGGAAACUGGGUCUAAUACUGGAUAGGACCAUGCUGUAGGUGGUGUGGUGGAAAGAUUAGUUUCGGUAAGGGAUGAGCUCGCGGCCUAUCAGCUUGUUGGUGGGGUGAUGGCCUACCAAGGCGUCGACGGGUAGCCGGCCUGAGAGGGUGGACGGCCACAUUGGGACUGAGGGACGGCGCAGACUCCUACGGGCGGCAGCAGUGGGGAAGAUUGGAAAAUGGGGGCAAGCCUGAUGCAGCGACGCCGCGUGGGGGAUGACGGCCUUCGGGUUGUAAGCUCCUUUCAGCCAUGACGAAGCCCUUGUGGUGACGGUAGUGGUAGAAGAAGCACCGGCUAACUACGUG